rnacentral:tRNA from 1 species
GGCUCGGUGGUCUAGGGGUAUGAUUCUCGCUUUGGGUGCGAGAGGUCCCGGGUUCAAAUCCGCCGGGCCC